ensembl:lncRNA
AAUUUUUUCUGAAUGGGUGUCCUCUCACUAACCUCCAUUGAGAGUGGUGUAACAGGACACUAGCCUCCCCAGUCGACUCCGCCCCUCUCUCAGAGCUUCUAUAAGAGAGCACAGCUCAUGCUCCUGGCUGUGUGUGAGUGUGUGUGUGCGUGAGUGAGUGAACGUGAGAGUGAGUGUGUGUGUGUCCCGUCUGCCUGUGCCGGCCGGAGAGAGAGAGAGAGAGAGAGAGAGAGAGAGAGAGAGAAAAGGGGAACCCCAGAUCCUAGCAGGGACUGGCAGAAUGGGAGACAGACCAGCAGAGACAAAAAUGAAGGGAAAAAAAGAGCAAACCCCCCCCCUCUUCCAAAAGGACACAUGACCAGAGAAGAAGAAGGAGAGGAGGGAGUUUGGGGGGGGGUUCAUUCCCAGCCCGGCGUCGGGAGGAAACGCUUCUCUCACCCGCAGACUGAUGGACCAGAGUCAUUCCUUUGUCCAAUGGGAAACCUCUCCGACCACUGCAGUCGAAUUAACUAGAAAAGGUGUGCUUGUCAGAGUGGCCAAUGGUGGUCUGAAGAAGAGGAAGAGGAAGAUGGGAUGAACAUCGUGUCCCGCUGCCUCUCGGCGCUGUCAGUUGCUCAGUAGGCAGUGUAGAUCCUGUUUAGCAAUCAGCAGCUACAUCUGGCUACUGGGUCUCUGAAGGCGCUGCCCACUUCCUGGGGAGCAUACCAUCAGCUUGCCAUUGGCUGCCGGUGCAUUCCGUCGAUUGGCUGAGAGGAGGAUGUCUCGAGAGUGCUCUGCCGUGUGACCUUACAGACAGGAUGUGCUCAAUGUGUGUCCCGAUUUUGCAACGGGCCCCAAAAAUACUGUUUGAUUGUUCUACCCCUUCCUUUAGGAAUCUUGUACACUCCCCCUCCAUCCUCUCAUCUUAUCUCAUUCUUCUAGCUGCCAAUAAAAUAAUUGCGUUUUUUUCAACGCACUAAAAAAAUGUGUGCCAAUGGCGCUGGACAAAAGAAACACUUGAAUGAUGGAUUUGCAGGUUGUCUGGUGGCCGUGGUGUCAAACGCCGUUGCUUUAUCCUGAACCUGGCAUACAAUGUAGAUAUCUGUGUUGUCCAAUUCUACAGCUACAUUGUCUGCUGGGUUUCUGGCUAGCAAUAUAAGCAGCUUUAAAUGCCCCUGGAAACUCAAUAGGGUAAGUGUCUCAUCAAUCAGGUCUGCCAUUGUGUAUGAAAUGCUGAAACAGUGACUAAUUCAAUAAAAAUAAACUAUUUCUGCUGAAAAGAUUGAUUUGGUUAUUUUCUCGAGAAGAAAAAAGUCUGUUGGAUGGAGAAGAGGCUCACUGAGCUCUGGAAUCCGAAUAAUCUGAAUUUUACUCCACAGUGCUUAUCUGUCCUCUGACUUUAUCUCCAGCGAGGUUUGCCAGGAAUAUUCUGGUAACUCAGCAAAAUACUGGGGAGGGUGUCUGUCAGGGUGCUGUCAGACUCGCUCCCUAUUAGUGGCUUUCCGCCUA